rnacentral:lncRNA from 1 species
UAAAGAAGCACACCACCUAAUACCUACGUAUUGAUACUGCGUCUCAGCUGCCCGAGGAAAUUCCCAGAGAAGAGAUGGCGUCACCGGUGCAGGUGCGAGAACAGCAAGCAUUGGUGGCAGCUCUGGAGGUGCCUAUAGAAGAACGGGUAACUUCGGCCAGGCAGGGGGUGCAAGUUUGCCAGGAAGCUACGAAAGCUUUUCAAGCGCAAUUCCUAGUGGAUACUCAGUCUACGGUGCUGUAGGUGCACCUAAUAGCUAUAUUAGAAGCAGUAAUGGAAUUUACGGCGGCAACGCUGGAGGAGACAUGGCCUAUGGUAGUAACCUAAACAACGUCGGCGGCGGACUUUACGUCAAUCAAGGCACAGGCAUAAGUGGAACCUACGGCACUAGCGUCGGCGCAGGUAUCGGAAGCGGCCUAAGCGUUCCUUCCGCAGACGGAUAUCUGGGUUUCUAUGGAGGGUCAAACACGUUAGGAGGUAGUGGUUUUGUCAGCGGAGCUACUCGUCCAGGAGCAGUGGGAACAGGUUCACUUGGAGGCCUCGAUGUAGGUGCCGGUAGCGGUGCCGUGCUCUCCGGGGGCCUGGGAGGCCUAGAGGCUAUGGAGACUACGGGUUAUCAGGGUACCCGGGAGUGCUCGGAGGGGCCGACUAUGGCAUUGCUGACUGGCGGGAAAGGCUCAGGGAGAGAAGGCGUCUGCGCCAGCUCAGGCGCAUCCUGCGCCGUUAUAACCACGAUCAAGAUGCACUUGCUCGACUGGGUUAUCCUGUCUCGGUGUACGGACCUAGCUUUGGUGCUGGAAUAGGAGCGGGUGCAGGCUUGGGAGCCGGUGCAAGCGGAGGGCUGGGAGGUCGAGUAGGAGCCGGGCUUGGGGGAGGCAUUCGUGGUGGCUUGGGAGGUGGUGCCGGAGUGGGUGGUCGAACGCGAGGUCACCUGAGAGUGCGAGCUGGUCUCAGCGUUGAAGUCAACCUCGGAGUGGACGCAGGUGUAAACUCAGAUCUUGCUGGAGGUGCCAGGGCACAGAGGUGUCGCUGAGAACGUAAACGGCGGUGCUGGCGCCAAUGUGGCUGGCGGUGUUGACGCUGGUGCAAAUGGCCGUGCCGGUGUCUCUGGUGGUGUAUCUGGAAGUAGGUUAAACUUAUAGUUGCCGAAACAUUUCGACGAAUGUUAAAGACGAAAAAGAUUCUUCGAGACUUCUUUUAACCUGUUAGAUUACGCCAAAUCCUUGCCAUGCAAACAACGUUUUCAUCCCACAAGCUUCUCAGCGAAAUGGCACCUCAACUUCAGGUGUUCGUGCAAUAAAGUACGUACUAUUCUCUUUCGACAGUCUCAUUUGUCACAACCAAGUAGGCGUCAACAAAAAGCUUGAAUUUCUUUGAAGAGUUCUUAUAAAAAUAUUGUUCAAAUUGUAAUUUGCUUAUUUCUCUUCUACCUCUUUAACAGUGGAUAAAUAUCCAUUAAUGAGACGGUAAAUCGAGACAUAAUCUAUAAACGAAUAUUUAUUAUUUACACAAGGAAAACGUAGUGUAGGUAAACUCACGAAACCGUUUACU